rnacentral:rRNA from 1 species
GACGAACGCUGGCGGCGUGCCUAAUACAUGCAAGUCGAGCGGUAAGGCCCUUCGGGGUACACGAGCGGCGGACGGCUGAGUAACACGUAGGAACGUACCCCAAACUGAGGGAUAAGCACCAGAAAUGGUGUCUAAUACCGCAUGUGGCCCACGGGCUAAAGCACCGCCGGGUUGGGAACGGCCUGCGUCCGAUUAGCUAGUUGGUAGUGUAAUAGACUACCAAGGCGACGAUCGGUAGCUGGUCUGAGAGGAUGAUCAGCCAGACUAGGACUGAGACACGGCCCAGACUCCUACGGGAGGCAGCAGUAGGGAAUUUUCCACAAUGGGGGCAACCCUGAUGGAGCAACGCCGCGUGCAGGAUGAAGGCCUUCGGGUUGUAAACUGCUUUUAUCUGUGACGAUUAUGACGGUAGCAGAUGAAUAAGGACCUGCUAACUACGUGCCAGCCGCCGCGGUAA